ACUGAUGGGACCCAUAAAUGAAUAUUGACAUAAUUAGGCUGUAAAUGGUAACCAAUCUUCCCCCUAAAAAUAAGGGCCAUGUCUCUGACCAAAAGGGAUAUAAUAUAUGGCUGGUGGGGUGAGAGAGAGAGAUGAAAGUGGUGGCAGAGACCAGCAGACUGUUCGUUGGAUGUAAUAACAAGAGAGGCAUCCAUACAUAAGAUACAGAUGAUGCUGAAUUGUUUCUGCCACUGCAGAAAAAAAUGAGAUCAGGGAGCUUUUAAGCUUACCUUCUUCAGGGGUGUGGGGCUGCCUGCCGUGCUCCAGAUGAACGAACACCCAACGCCGCCAGCGCCACCACCGCCUCCACCACUGCUGCUGCCGAUCUAGGUAGAAAUGGACACUACAAUAAUGGUAAUGUUUCAAGUGGAAUAUUCAGAUCAAAAGAACAUGAAAAAAUCGGAAAUGGUAGGUAAAAAUCAAAGCAGAGAGGCAGACUGUUUUUCUGGAAGAGAAAAAACAAUAUGCAUGUGCUAACUGCUAUAAUGAAUAUUGCAAAUUAUAUGAAUAAAUUAUCCUGAAAGUGUUUCUUACAAAUACCAAUGUGUACGGCUGGAAGUGUAUUACAGAACUCCUAUUAUCGAAUCGAUUU